GGGGGUUGUAUCUGAUUCAGUAGACAGGCAGUGGGAAGAUGUGGAAAGAUUUAGAGAAGAUGAGUGAUACAAUCCAAACGUUCGUCUAGGAAGGAUGAUCUAGUAACAGUGGAAGAUUUAAAGAAGAAAAUGCCUGCUGACUGUAAAACCAGGCAGGUGGUUAUUCCUGGCACAAGGUGACAAAACGCAAAAAGUGGCGAGUAGCAGUGACAGUUAGGAGAGGAUGAAUGGGAAAUAUAUUUUAGAAAUAUGCUUAACUACAUUGGGUGGCUGGGUGACUGUGAGGAAUUAGGCAGAGAACGGUGGGCUAGAGGAAGAUUCUAGGGGCUGGAGACCAUGGCAGAAACACAUCGUUAGGAGUUAAGAGGAAUAGGGAAGGAGGAACAAGUUUAGGAGGAAAUAUGAUAAAUUUGAUUUUGAACUUACAACUUAUGGGGCUGCAUGAGUCAUGAAGAACAAGGAAAAACUCUGGGAGUUCGUUAUGGUGGGUCGAUAAGGACGUGACUAACUCCUGUUCACGUAAGGCUGGAGCUUAGGAAUAUUCAGUGAUGGUUAUAGAAAAUAUAAAAUAAUAAAAAAUUAUUAAGCAUCUGCUAAGUAUCAAGAACUAAGGUAAACUCUUCUAUGCAAUUUAAAAAGACAUAUUCUUCAUAAUAGUUCCAUGAGGUAGUCACUAUUAGCUUGAUUUUCUUGAAUAACAAACAGACCUAUUAAAUAACUUGCCCGAGGAUACGCAGCUGAUAGGUGGCAAAACUGCAGUUAGGAACCUGGUUCAUCUGACUUCAGAGGCCACUUGAGUUAGUGGCAAAUCUGCUUUUCUCUUAACACUAUGACUUUCUAUCCUUGUCUGUUGUCGAUAAUGCAGGUUUAGAGAUUUUAUUUAUGAUGCUGAGAAACAACUUGGGAUACGUGUAGCUCUAAACACCCAGAACUAAUAAAAUUACAUUGAUCUGUAGCAUUUCAGAAGCACAGGGCGAAGCACUAUCCAAAGCAUCUCCAGCUUCUUUUGCCAAUUUAGCAGUAAUUAGGUCUAGGGAGUCCUGUGUUCCAACCAUAUCUAGAAGAUUAUGCUUUCACAGCCAUGCUUCCAAUUAUAUUUUGAAGAUCGUUUUCAUUACCAUCCCAGGAAGGAGGCUACGUAAGCUUGUUUUCCUCCCAUUAUUCUAACUGGAAUAAACAUGGCUUUAUUUAAAGAAAAACAAACUAGCAACGACCCCAAAUACUUCUUAACAAAAUAUUUUACCUUUGUUUCUGGGCAUGAAAAUGAUGGUUGCUAAGAGAUCCAGAAAGUGAAAAGCAAAAUGAGACAAAGGAGACUGAAAUAAUGUUUGCCUGGUUACUCAGAACAGCAUGCAGUGACUUUGUUUACUUUUCCUUCUUCCCCCUUUUUAAUGAACUGGUGAUGUUUUUAAAAUUUCCAAAUGAAUAUAAAUACCACCACAGUGCUAUUGACCUAUUUAUGUCCCCUGGAUAUUUCUAACUGAAUUAUGACAUCCAAACCAUAAUAAAACUUAAAUGUUUCCAAUACCAGCAAGAAGAUAUUUUCUCUUGCUUUCUUUUUUUAAAAGCUGCCAUUUGGAAAAAGUACUUUGGUGUUACUCCAAACCUUUGGAAACCUCUUCUUGGGAAUCUCCUAUUGGGAUGUCUGAUGAAGGGAAAUGAUGGAACUGAUCAUAAACCUGAUUCAGCUUUGGAGAUUGGUGCAUGUUGGGUGCACUAAUUACUGAGUUACACCUGCAAGCAUUUACAGCUUUUAGUAACCAUGGUUCAGUAAUAUAAUAAAUAUUUACUAGUAUGUAUGUUUGAGAAAAAGUUGUAAAGGCCUCUUUUGAAUGCGUAGUCUCUUUAAGAUCUCACAUGCAAGACUAGUGAAGACCUCCAAGGGCCUUGACUGUUGCUCAAUAUCAUGGUGGCAUUCAGUUUGAAUAUUUUAGAGACAUACAAACAAGCGAUUAGAUCAAAUAAUUGCUUUUAUCAGGUUCAAAGCAUUGGGAAAUCAAGAUGUUUGUCCAAGAUACCACUGGAUCAAGCUUUUCUUCAAACCAACAGAGGAGUUAUCAUUUCAUUUUUUUUUUUUGCCAGAAGUAGAUAUAUGAGAAAUAUUUUUUUUUGCCCUUUAAAACUAAAAGCAGUAUUUAGGGUUUGCAACCCAAAUAUUCCCUCCCCAGCUUCUUGCAGUGUAUUUACCUUAUAAUAUGGCAAUCAAGGAGCUGAUCACACUGAUAGAGACAAUUCUUCAUUUUUGCUUCUGAGUGGUAUUUCACAUACUGCAAAUUUAGGAAGAAACAUUGUCCAUUGCCGACCAGCCAAAUUAAUUAUACUGUAUUGAUUGAAAGCAAAAGAGAUUGAUUACUUGCAUGGUUGUUGUAAAGGUAUCUUACAAGCUGGCAGAAUUUAAGAUGAGAUGAGAAUUAAGUUCCAAAUGCACCAAGAACUCCAAAAAAGAAAUCUAUUCAUAAACAAACGAUAGGAUAUCAAACUCUUCAGGCAAGGGAAAGAGCAAUGGCUUAUGUUGGUCCUUCAAGGGACGUGCAGAGUGGAAGAGAGAGAUACUGACUAUCAAGAUAUGAACAUAAUGGAUACUUUCAUUGGGGACAGCCUGUAAAGUGAUAGAGAUCCUUUCCCUUCAGAUCCCAGUUUGUUCAGGAACCUAUGAACACAUAUGCGGAAUUUUCCAACAACAAUUUCCAAUAUCCCAGUAAAAAAUAUUCAAAUACCACAAAUUUUAGGUAAAUUUUUAUUGUAUGAAAAGAGCAUGGGUUUAGGAUUAGAGAAAACUGGGUUGGAAUCCUGACACCCCCAUCUAUUCUGACCCAACAGAAUAUAUUCAGUUUUUCAGUCUCAUGGGAAAGAGCAUCGUAAGUUGACAUCACUGCCUGUUAGGAGGAUUAAAUAAGACAUAUUGUCACAGUAUGUAUUCCAGUAAGACUGGUUGUCAUAGACAUACUAUAUUCUUUUCCAUGACAUCAUUCCUCCCAUCUCUUCUGCCUAAAGCACAUGUAUGCGUGUGAACAGGAGAAAGCCCAUAGAGAGGGAAAUAUUGAGUGCUCAGAAACCAGAGGGAUAACCCUAUUUCAAGAUCUCUAGAGAGGCAAAGUGGUAUGGGAUGUAGAACAGGGUGGGAGAUAGACUGCAGGAGCAGGACAGGUUUCAACACUGGGGCCACAGUCAUCUUGAUUGACCUACUUGCUCCGUCAUUUAUUAGCUAUGGGGCCCUGGGAAAGUUCCUUUACUUCUUGUAGUGUUGAUUUUAUUAUUUGAGAAACUGGGAUAAUAAGAGACUAAUUAACUGCUUGUUUAUAAAGCACUUAGCACAAUCUGGCACCUAACGCUUACUUAAUUCCUAUUGGUCAUCGUCUUCAUCGUCAUCAUCAUCGUUAUUAUCAUUUUAAUUAUUUAAUUAUUUUCUUCUACGUAAACUUAAAUAGGAAAGGAUGUUUCUGGAUGCAAAGUGCUGAUUUCUGAUGGCUUUUAUGUUAACCGUGAGGCAGGAGAUAAUGCCUGCUACUCCGCUUUGGAGGGAGACCAGAGGAAAAGGCAGAAGAGUUGACCCUUAUGAAGCAGGGAGAUUGAAAAUCAUUUACAAAGACAAAAACAAUACGAGUGAUUUUUCAUUUUAUUUACCAAUCCCCUGUCCCCCAAAUAAUGGAUGAUGAAUGUUUUGUAACUGUUGAGCUACUUUUUAAAAAUUGACCUAUUUGACAGAAGCAGCCGUUUCUUUUACUACUGCAGUUUGCUCAUACAUAGAAAAAAAAAUUUAUGAAUUAGUAUUAGCAUUCAUCCUGAAAUAUAGAAAAACUCCACAAUUGCCAUUACUAAAAAUAUUUUUUAUUCACAGGCAAUGUCUAAAUUCUCAAACGUUCCCGUUUUUAAAUCUCUGUACUUCACAUACCAUCCUUCUUUAGCGGUUUAGACUUUUUUUUAAAAUGACUCUUUAUUUUGAUGAGACUUCCAAACUAACGCUAAACUAUGUUUUCAGAGAGACAGGUUUUAAGAAUCAGAAUAACAAACCAAGCUUCUGUUUAAUGCAAAGUUAAUGUUACUACAGUUUAAUCAUGCCCUCUCCACACCUGCUUCCCGGGCUUCUGCCAUAGCGUUUUUUCAAGGAUUUUGGAUCUCCGUAUGUUUUUCCCUUCUGGUCUUUGUCAAUGGUUUUCAUAAUUGGUUAAGAUGAGAUAGUUAGAAAAUGACCUGUGAACGGCAGGAAAAACCACUUUAACUGGUAAUUUAGCUGAACCUUUAACUAUUUCAGCUAUGUCAUUGAGCAAACAGAUUCGAGAACUGACGGAGAGUCUGUUCUAAGAAUGUUUUGAUCCCUGCCCCCUUCCCACCCAUGCAACUAUGGAUGCCUAGUCCAAGAUAAAAAGGGCCAGGGACAACAUUGUGUUCACCAUCAUAGAGUUGAUUAAAACUUCACUGAGGCAAGCACCAAUGUUUAGAAAGCCUUGAGUACAGUUAGACUGUAAGUUCCUUGAGGACCAGAAGUGGUAAACAUCAUUGGACUCCUCAUUUCUAAUACAUCACAUGGCCUAGCACACAGAGGUGCACAGCAGAUACUGGUGAAUAAAUGGCGACUUAUGAGAAAUUUAGAUAUUUCUUCUAUCUACCUCUUCCUUACACACAUCUUAUUAGCAGACCUAAUUCAAAUUUGAACCAUCUCGGGUUUCUGUCUUCAUUGCAAAGGCCCAUCUGGGCUCAUCAAUCUCACCCUCUUCACCAAACAACUUGAGUCACACAGCAUAUGGUUAGUAAUUUAUCACCUUUAAAAAAGCAAAACUCAGCUAGGGAGUAAUUGCAGUCCAGAAAAUCUCAUUAGUAUAGUACAGCAAGUCCAAUCCUCCCACCAACUUUUCAACAGUGCAAAAGAACAAAUACAUGCCCACGUUCAAGAAGUGAUAGUAUUUAUAUGAUCAGACUAUAAUCAUGCACGAUUUAUUACCACGUGGCUUUGGAAUAGUUCAGUUUACAGAUCUAAGAAAAUUAUUCAAUAUCUGAUGGGAUCGUUCAGAAUAAGAUUAAACUGCUCAAUGCUGUUGUCAAAUACAAAAAAAAGAAAGUAUGAGUGCCAAAGGUAAGUUUUUUUAUAACGUAUUCACAGCAACAAUAAUUGUCACAUCUAAUGUUUAAAUAUAUAACAGUUUCAUGGAGUCUUGACCUUUAUACCUAUUUGAAAACUCUAUUUUAGGGCAAUAACCUUAAAUGUUGAAUGAUUUAAUAUUUUUAAUAUUUUACUUAAGAACAUCUGACAAUGCUGUAUCAUCUUUUGCCUGCCUAAUGUGGAGUAGAAUAUCUCCAUAUCCUACUCAAUGAGCAUUUUGAACGUGUCCGACAGAACGCAGUCUAGUCUCCCAGAAGUUAUCAGUAACGGUGAUAGCAAAAACACCAGAGAGCAGAGCAGAGGGUGCCCCAGGCCUGGGGGAAGCUGUAGAGUAACAGGUGAUGAGUCUGUGUUCGAGGGUCAGACCGCCCACUUUUGAAUCCUAACUUAGCUCACUCUGUAACUUAAUCUAUGUUUGUUUCCAUCCACAACUCGGGAUGCAAGUUUCCUCAGAGGGUUCUUAUGGGAUUCUUGACCCGAUGCCUGAAAAGCACUUAUGCAGAGCCAGACACAUCUUGAAAGCACAAUAAAUCUCUGCUGCUAUUCCUCUGCCCCAUAAUUUCUGUUUGAGCAAAGGCCAUUAAGGACUACAGGUUUUGUUUAACAGCUGUUUUUUUAUGUAUUUAAGCUUAAGGUAAUAUUAAGAUAACAGUUCUUAAAAUCUGUCCAGUAGAGUGUCAACAGUUCCAUG
rnacentral:lncRNA from 1 species